UCGUAACAAGGUCUCCGUUGGUGAACCAGCGGAGGGAUCAUUACCGAGUUAUUCAACUCAUCAACCCUGUGAACAUACCUAAACGUUGCUUCGGCGGGAAUAGACGGCCCCGUAAAACGGGCCGCCCCCGCCAGAGGACCCUUAACUCUGUUUCUAUAAUGUUUCUUCUGAGUAAAACAAGCAAAUAAAUUAAAACUUUCAACAACGGAUCUCUUGGCUCUGGCAUCGAUGAAGAACGCAGCGAAAUGCGAUAAGUAAUGUGAAUUGCAGAAUUCAGUGAAUCAUCGAAUCUUUGAACGCACAUUGCGCCCGCCAGUAUUCUGGCGGGCAUGCCUGUUCGAGCGUCAUUACAACCCUCAGGCCCCCGGGCCUGGCGUUGGGGAUCGGCGGAGCCCCCCGUGGGCACGCGCCGUCCCCCAAAUACAGUGGCGGUCCCGCCGCAGCUUCCAUCGCGUAGUAGCUAACACCUCGCGACUGGAGAGCGGCGCGGCCACGCCGUAAAACACCCAACUCUUCUGAAGUUGACCUCGAAUCAGGUAGGAAUACCCGCUGAACCUAAGCA
rnacentral:misc_RNA from 1 species